UUACGGCGAGUGAAGCGGGAAGAGCUCAAAUUUGAAAUCUGGUAGCCUUCGGUUGCCCGAGUUGUAAUCUAGAGAAGUGUUUUCCGUGCCGGCCCAUGUACAAGUCCCUUGGAACAGGGCGUCAUAGAGGGUGAGAAUCCCGUCCUUGACAUGGACCCCCGGUGCUUUGUGAUACACUUUCAACGAGUCGAGUUGUUUGGGAAUGCAGCUCAAAAUGGGUGGUGAAUUCCAUCUAAAGCUAAAUAUUGGCGAGAGACCGAUAGCGAACAAGUACCGUGAGGGAAAGAUGAAAAGCACUUUGGAAAGAGAGUUAAACAGUACGUGAAAUUGUUGAAAGGGAAACGAUUGAAGUCAGUCAUGCUCUUAGGAUUCAGCCGUUCUGCGGUGUAUUUCCUUUGAGUGGGGUCAACAUCAGUUUUGAUCGAUGGAUAAAGGCACGAGGAAGGUAGCACUCUCGGGUGAACUUAUAGCCUCGCGUCAUAUACAUUGAUUGGGACUGAGGAACGCAGCAUGCCUUUAUGGCCGGGAUUCGUCCACGUACAUGCUUAGGAUGUUGACAUAAUGGCUUUAAACGACCCGUCUUGAAACACGGACCA
rnacentral:rRNA from 1 species